rnacentral:rRNA from 1 species
GACAGAGGGUGCAAACGUUGUUCGGAAUUACUGGGCGUAAAGAGCGUGUAGGCGGCCCGGUAAGUCCGCUGUGAAAGUCGGGGGCUCAACCCUCGAAUGCCGGUGGAUACUGUCGGGCUAGAGUGCGGAAGAGGCGAGUGGAAUUCCUGGUGUAGCGGUGAAAUGCGCAGAUAUCAGGAGGAACACCGAUUGCGAAGGCAGCUCGCUGGGACGUAACUGACGCUGAGACGCGAAAGCGUGGGGAGCAAACAGG